CUCGGUUCUCUGCAACCUCCAUCGCCCAGGCUCAAGUGAUCCCCCCACCUCAACCUCCCAAGUAGCUGGGAUUACAAGCCUGCACCUCUAUGCCCAGCUAAUUUUUGUGUUUUUAGUAGAGACAAGGUUUUGCCAUGUUGGCCAGGCUGGUCUCGAACUCCUGACCUCAGGUGAUCCAAAAGCCUUGGCCUCCCCAAGUGCUGGGAUUACAGGCUUGAGCCACCACACCUGGCCAAUUAUUUUAUUAAGCCAGAUGAAUCUAGCUCUGGACAGUUAUAAGCAAAGAAAAACUAACGGAAAAAUACAGAGGCCUGAAGAAUCACAGAGGGAAACUCAUUUGUUCCUCUGGCAGCUCUCCCCAAGGACACCUGUGAGACAAAGUCAGAAGUGGCUUCCCUGGUGACCCAGAGAGACCACAGGGCUCUUGCCGCUGCUUCCUCUACUCCCGUAUUUUGCCGAGCUCUCUAAAUUGUCUCAGCUCUAGCCUGAAUCUAUGGUUUCAUGGAGAGCUCCCUAAAAUCUGUUGACAGAGGAAGAGAAGACUUGAACCUGGUUUACAGAUGGUACUGCACAAUAUGCAGGAACCACAUGAAAGCAGGCAGUUGAAGCACUGCAGCCUCUCUCUGGGACAUCUCCUAAGAAAAAUGAGGGAGCAUCCUCCCAUCCUCCAGAUUCAAAAACUGAAGAAAAUUUCCACACCAUCCUUUUUAAGAAAGUAAAAGGCAGUUCCCCUGUACACACUCUCUUGUCUUCCAUCACGUAAGAGGUGCCGUUGCUCCUCCUUCACCUUCCACCAUGAUUGUGAGACCUCCCCAGCUAUGUGGAACU
rnacentral:lncRNA from 10 species